rnacentral:lncRNA from 1 species
CUGGGCGGGACUGGAACCGGCACUUGGCACCCCUUACGCCUUACGGUGGCCGCUGCGCCCAGUCACAUCUAUUGCAUUUCUCUGGAAUGACCACAGCAAUAUUUCCAGCCCUUGAUGAUCUUCUAGAACUUUGCCACUUCCCUGCAUCAAGAGAAAAUCUUGGAAGAAGAACACUUCUUUGAUGACGUUGUCAGAGAGAAAUGGAUGUUCUCCUAAAUGGGAAGCCUUAAUUCUGUGUGUAAUUUAUAAAGCCAUGGAGAAGAGGAGACAGAGUGUGCAAGGGAAUGAAGAAAAGGAACAAGACUAUUUUCAAAUCACCCAUGGCACUACUAGAAAUGUAUUUCAGCAAAAGGACUGGCUGAUUUUAUGAUUCCUGUGUCCACCACAGCCCUCUAAUUUUUACAUAGGUACCCCACAUCUCUCUAGAUUUCAGGAAGACUAUUAUCCUUCGACUUUAGCUUUCUGAUGGGUUCACAAAAAGCCAUUAGUGUGCUGUUGGUCCAGCUUUUUUCUGUUGCAAAUAUGAGAGCUACAGUUCUGAGAUGAAACCACAGGAUGUUCUUUCUCUAUGUAAGGAGAACAGUACCUUUUCUGACUACUCUGAAAUGAAUCAAGAACAAAUCUGUGUGGAAUUUUGGACCAUAAUCAGGAACAAGAAUCUCGGGAAUCCUUGGAAAUAAAUAUUUAUCAGUUUCUGCCUUAUGUGGUUGAUUGUAUGUCUGUCCUAUCUGAGUUCAUGCAUCUAACAGUCAUACUACUGUAACCAUCAUAUCUUCACAAAAAAAAAAAGUGUUCUGCUUUCUAUACUUGAGUACAAGAUCAUUUCCUCGGCCCUGUAUUCUCUGCAGUACCAGCACAGUGCCUUGGGUAUCAUGGUCACUCAAAUAUUUGAUCAAGUAAGUUUAUAGAUAAAUGCCUAUCUAAUAUAUUAAAUCAGAAGAUGGGGAUAAUGAAGUAUAGCUUGCUUUUAAAUAGAAUUUUUUAAUGUUAUUAUUAAGCCAACUAUUUUAUGUCUCAUUGCUUUUAGGAGCAAGGUAACAUAUUUCAUACUUUGGCAUUGGUUUCAGUAGCAGGGGGAACAAACUUACAGCUUGCUAUGAGUUGUUCUGUGGUCAGAACAAAAGUUGCUAAUGAUCAAGCACUUAUCUAGUAAGGCUAGUUUUUUUUCUCAAGAUAUUUCUCAAUACUGUAUUAUUGACAACUACUCCAAGUAAUUAGAAUAGGCAUAUAAUAUUGAACAUUUCAAUGGUUUACUACACUUAGGGAGAAUAUUAUAGAGAAGAUGUGAGUCCUGACUUACGAUUUUAAAAGCUCUUCUCUAUUCAAGGGGCAGAGUUCUUGUGGAAGGAAUGAGUCCAGUGUGGUCUGUGGUGUGCAUGAGAAAAUAAGCAGCAAAGGUCAUGGAGUAAGAAGUUCGAAGCCAUUAUUAAAGAAUGGCCGUGGGUAAAAUGAUUGGAUUCUGCCAUGGAACAUGGUAAGCUAGUGGGCCAGUAUUGUGUAGUAAUUUUAAGUGCAGAAUGCUUGAGUUUUAAUUCUGGGAUCCCCCUUCCUAGCUGUGUGACUUUGGGCAAGCUGUUUAUCUCUUUGUGCUACAAAUUGUUUAUCUGUAAAAUAGGAGUUUUAAAAGUUAUUAACUUGCUGGAUUUACAUGAUAAUUAAUUGAGGUAAUAUACGGAAAGUUCUUAGAACAGUGCUAAGUGUUAGUUACAUGAUUCCUGUUUAAAUAAUUCAUUACUAUUAAAAGGGAAGAGAAACUACCUUCAAAAAUAGUACUGUCUAGCCUUAAUAUAAUUAAUCUGUCUGACCCUAGCUACCACUAUAACCAAGGUAAAUUUUUUGCAAGUCAUAAGAAAACUAAUGAUUAUCUGAUACUCCAAAAAUUUGUUUCCUAAAAAAUCAAAGAUUUUGUCUUCAAAUUGGAGCUGUUUAACCAUCCGUUAAUGGAGACAACCACAUGGAAUUUAAAAAAUGUGAUAGGUAGAGCAAAUUAUCAUUGAGUUCUUAGUAGAACAUUUUCUCCACAUUUCUCUGUUGUAUACACCAUCAGGAGGAAUAAACAAUUUCACAAAGUUGCCAAAAUGUUAGCAUUUUUACUGAAAACGCCUAGUCAUAGUUUUGUUUUCUGCAAGUUAUUUUAAAAAUUGGUGACAUUAUUCAUAAGCAAAAAGAAUCAUUUUAUGUAGUAUGUGGCAUUCUAUACCUGAAACAAAAACAACAACAACAGUGGAACAAAUCUGCAAUGUAAAAAAUAGGUAAAAAUAAAUAUCUUAUUAGAAACAAAAUAGGCAGUGCUUUUAAGGCACAUGUUCAAAUAAUAAGCAAAAAAUAAAAAUGUUAUUUGAUUAAAGAGAUGUUUAGCUCUCAGGAAGGCAGUAGUGAUUCUAAAUCAAUGGGAUAAAUAUCAGCAAUAACAAAGGUGAUUAAUAAACUACUUUUUGUUAAAUAUAUAAUUGUUUAUUGGAGAAACUGGAAUUCUUAAUUUUAGCAUUAUUAAUUUCUUCGUGGAAAAUAGAGCCUCAUUUUAUCUCAACAUUUAAAUAGAGUCAUAUUUUUAAAGAUAUUUAUUGUUAUUAUUUUUUAUUUCAAUAGUUUUUGGGGAACAGGUGGUGUUUGCUUACAUGGAUAAGUUCUUUAGUGGUGAUUUCUGAGAUUUUGAUGUACCCAUGACCCUAGCAGAGUACACUGUACCCAAUAUGUAGUCUUUUAUCUCUCACUUGGCUUCCUUUCCACCCUUCCCCCCAAGUCCCCA